GAAGAUAUACUUUAAAAAAAAGAUUUCAUUUGCAAUGAAAAAUUAUGGAUUAACCAUUAUCAUCA
rnacentral:tRNA from 1 species